AUCUAUUCGCAUUCAGUUAUCCCUCCGUAGCACAUUCUUAUUGGUUUUAAUUUAUGUAAAAUUUGUUUAUGAAUCAUAAAAGUAAAACAGAACAUUUCGACAGAUUGUUGUUUUUGAACUAUCGACUUCAACCUUACAUAAUUGGAUCAGAGUUGGCAUGUAUUUUUCAAUCCAAAACUGAAAGCAUGAUUUUAUUAAUUGAAUCAUGACAGAAAGAAAAUUGAUGGCUGAAAUUCUCAGUGGCAUUUCCGUCCGCAAAAUGCAAGGAAGAUUGUGCAUCUUCACCUUUGGAGUGCUUGUUGGUUAUAUUAUAUUACCGAAAAUUAAAGAAAAGUAAACAAAAAAUAAUUAAAAUUAAAGGUAACAUAAAAUGUGGACAAACUUGAAAACAAAUUGAAGCAAAAUUUUGAAUUUAAUUGAAUCGCUAUAAGAAACUAAUACUACUCUUUGGAUUGUUCAAAUUGUUGAUAAUUUUGGACACGAAGGACAUUGGAAAUGCAUAAUACUUAUUUGUUUUAGAGGACCCUGCAUGUGGUACAUUUCUUACUAUUUCAGGAUUUUACAAAAAUAAAUUAUCGUUGUGUUGUUCGUGUAAGGGGAUGCGCUAGUCUGUAGGCACGCAUCUCGCACGUUUUUUGGCGAUGGAUAUAUUAAACAUCAAAUUCUUCAUCAUUUGUUUAUUCAUAUUUCAAGAGCACACAAAAUGUUCAAUUCGUCCAGUCACCCGAAUUUCAAUACGUCUAGUUAUCCUGCUCGUUUAUAUAUUUACCAUAUAGAUAUAACUAUAUAUAUAAUUCUUUUAGUUCUAGUUGAUAUAAACCAUUGUUAUGUGAACAAAGCUAUUAUACCCUGUUAAAACAUGUUGCGAGAGUAUAAAAAUGAUAAAUUUUUAUAAACUUAA